GGCUGAUGCAUAGAUAGUAAGUUAUCUGAGUUGAUUGUUCGUAAUCAGCUACAGAAGUCACUCGUUUUCCUUUUUUCCCCUUCUCACUACUGGACUUGACUAGUCUAAA
rnacentral:Y_RNA from 1 species